rnacentral:rRNA from 1 species
UCCUACGGGAGGCAGCAGUGGGGAAUAUUGGACAAUGGGGCAACCCUGAUCCAGCCAUGCCGCGUGUGUGAAGAAGGCCCUCGGGUUGUAAAGCACUUUCAGCGAGGAAGAACGCCUAGCGGUUAAUACCCGCUAGGAAAGACAUCACUCGCAGAAGAAGCACCGGCUAACUCCGUGCCAGCAGCCGCGGUAAUACGGAGGGUGCAAGCGUUAAUCGGAAUUACUGGGCGUAAAGCGCGCGUAGGUGGCUUGAUAAGCCGGUUGUGAAAGCCCCGGGCUCAACCUGGGAACGGCAUCCGGAACUGUCAAGCUAGAGUGCAGGAGAGGAAGGUAGAAUUCCCGGUGUAGCGGUGAAAUGCGUAGAGAUCGGGAGGAAUACCAGUGGCGAAGGCGGCCUUCUGGACUGACACUGACACUGAGGUGCGAAAGCGUGGGUAGCAAACAGGAUUAGAUACCCUGGUAGUCCACGCCGUAAACGAUGUCGACCAGCCGUUGGGUGCCUAGCGCACUUUGUGGCGAAGUUAACGCGAUAAGUCGACCGCCUGGGGAGUACGGCCGCAAGGUUAAAACUCAAAUGAAUUGACGG